rnacentral:rRNA from 1 species
GAAUGCUGACAUAAGUAACGAUAAAGCGGGUGAAAAGCCCGCUCGCCGGAAGACCAAGGGUUCCUGUCCAACGUUAAUCGGGGCAGGGUGAGUCGACCCCUAAGGCGAGGCCGAAAGGCGUAGUCGAUGGGAAACAGGUUAAUAUUCCUGUACUUGGUGUUACUGCGAAGGGGGGACGGAGAAGGCUAUGUUGGCCGGGCGACGGUUGUCCCGGUUUAAGCGUGUAGGCUGGUUUUCCAGGCAAAUCCGGAAAACCAAGGCUGAGGCGUGAUGACGAGGCACUACGGUGCUGAAGCGACAAAUGCCCUGCUUCCAGGAAAAGCCUCUAAGCAUCAGGUAACAUCAAAUCGUACCCCAAACCGACACAGGUGGUCAGGUAGAGAAUACCAAGGCGCUUGAGAGAACUCGGGUGAAGGAACUAGGCAAAAUGGUGCCGUAACUUCGGGAGAAGGCACGCUGAUAUGUAGGUGAAGCGACUUGCUCGUGGAGCUGAAAUCAGUCGAAGAUACCAGCUGGCUGCAACUGUUUAUUAAAAACACAGCACUGUGCAAACACGAAAGUGGACGUAUACGGUGUGACGCCUGCCCGGUGCCGGAAGGUUAAUUGAUGGGGUUAGCGGCAACGCGAAGCUCUUGAUCGAAGCCCCGGUAAACGGCGGCCGUAACUAUAACGGUCCUAAGGUAGCGAAAUUCCUUGUCGGGUAAGUUCCGACCUGCACGAAUGGCGUAAUGAUGGCCAGGCUGUCUCCACCCGAGACUCAGUGAAAUUGAACUCGCUGUGAAGAUGCAGUGUACCCGCGGCAAGACGGAAAGACCCCGUGAACCUUUACUAUAGCUUGACACUGAACAUUGAGCCUUGAUGUGUAGGAUAGGUGGGAGGCUUUGAAGUGUGGACGCCAGUCUGCAUGGAGCCGACCUUGAAAUACCACCCUUUAAUGUUUGAUGUUCUAACGUUGGCCCGUAAUCCGGGUUGCGGACAGUGUCUGGUGGGUAGUUUGACUGGGGCGGUCUCCUCCUAAAGAGUAACGGAGGAGCACGAAGGUUGGCUAAUCCUGGUCGGACAUCAGGAGGUUAGUGCAAUGGCAUAAGCCAGCUUGACUGCGAGCGUGACGGCGCGAGCAGGUGCGAAAGCAGGUCAUAGUGAUCCGGUGGUUCUGAAUGGAAGGGCCAUCGCUCAACGGAUAAAAGGUACUCCGGGGAUAACAGGCUGAUACCGCCCAAGAGUUCAUAUCGACGGCGGUGUUUGGCACCUCGAUGUCGGCUCAUCACAUCCUGGGGCUGAAGUAGGUCCCAAGGGUAUGGCUGUUCGCCAUUUAAAGUGGUACGCGAGCUGGGUUUAGAACGUCGUGAGACAGUUCGGUCCCUAUCUGCCGUGGGCGCUGGAGAACUGAGGGGGGCUGCUCCUAGUACGAGAGGACCGGAGUGGACGCAUCACUGGUGUUCGGGUUGUCAUGCCAAUGGCACUGCCCGGUAGCUAAAUGCGGAAGAGAUAAGUGCUGAAAGCAUCUAAGCACGAAACUUGCCCCGAGAUGAGUUCUCCCUGACUCCUUGAGAGUCCUGAAGGAACGUUGAAGACGACGACGUUGAUAGGCCGGGUGUGUAAGCGCAGCGAUGCGUUGAGCUAACCGGUACUAAUGAACCGUGAGGCUUAACCUUACAACGCCGAAG